GGCGUAGCACCGUUCACGAUAUUAUUGUGUUCGUUGUCGUUGCUUUUAAGCUUGUUAUCACAAGUGGCAGCAACGAUCGCGUCUUUCUGUUUACUAACCAGUCCGGUUCUCCUCUGGCGAGUGCGAACAGUGAACUUUUGUUCUUGCCGGUGUUGGUGUCGGGUUUCGGAAGAAUAUCAAUCGGAUUCGGUUUCGGGUUAGGGUUGACGGAGGCCCGAUCUCUGCGAGCUCGGCUACGCAGCUCAGGCAUCGUAGGGACUACAUUCGUCCAUAAAGGGUAGUAGCUUGGUGAAGAUCCAUGAAGGUUCUAGAAUCAUCGGCCGAUUAAUUUUGAUUACAGGCUUUGAGAGAUAGGAUAUUAACCCAAUAACAAAAAAAAAAUUAGAGAGAGUAGGAAGAUUUUAUUUGAUUAGAACAGAUAAAGAUGGUGAAAUUGGGGUUUGGUAAUGGAAAUUUUGGAGAUCUGUGGAGGGAAAUGAAAGGAAUGGGAUACAACCAGGUGAGAGUGAGACACAAAGAGAAAUGGAGGUGAGAAAUUAGAGAGACAAUGCUUCCUCCUGAUUUUUUUUUCCCUACUGUUGAUUUUAAAUUCAUCUUAAAUUUUCAAUAUUAUGUAUUACUAGCGUGGUCUAAUGAACUUAAUUUUGAAUUGGGAUGGAAAAAAAAUUAUGUAAUGAAAAUAUUUAUUAAAAUUUUAUAUAAAAUUAAUUGAUAUUUUAAUUAUAAUGAUAAAAUUUAUAUAUUUACCAUGCACCAUGUUUUUAGGUUCAAAUCUCAUAUAUUAUCGCAUAAAUAUAAUUUAAUUUAUAUAUGAAAUAAUAUUUUAUUACUUUAAUAAUUAAAUUAUAGUUAAGUGAGGCAUGAUACUAUCUCAAUAAAAUAUUAUAAAUUAUUUAGAAUAAAUUUAUCUGUGUAGACAAAAAAAAUUUAUGGAAGUUAAGUUUCGUUUUAUUUAUUUAAAUUUGAUUUUAAUGAAUUAAUAUAAAAUUUAAUAUUUUGAUUUUUUUUGGCAGGCUGGUUUUUAUUUAUUUUCUUAAUUUAUAUAUAAUUUGUGGAUUAUUUUCAGAAUCGAAUUAUAUUAGUCAAAUCGAUAAAUGAUUGGGAUGUUAGUUUAGAAUAAAGGAUUAGAUUAAUUUAUUUGUAAAUUGAUUGAAUCAGUGGAUUAAAUCAGUCAAACCGGUCAAUAGAACUAAUUGAACUGAUGGUCAAACCAGUUGAAUUGAUUUUCUAUGAAACUCUAAACUAUUUGAAUAUCAAUUCAAUCCUAAAAAUGGUGUUUCUUCAAUAGAAGGAAAUAUUAAAAUUAUAUAUAUAUAUUAAAGAUUUGGUGUAUUCGUAAAUGAAAGUUUGAGAAAAGUCUAAAGGUUAUGUAAGAUAGUUGGAAAAUUUCACCUUCCCUACUGUCCUGACUCAAGGUCCGCUAUUGGCUUUACAUCCUCUAGACCUAGUCCAAGUUGUAGGCUUGAGAUUUUACCAUAUAUAUAUCAAAAUUAUUUUAAAUAUUCUAAAAAUAAUUUGUUAUUAUAAAAGAAUGAUAUUUAAUACAUUAAUUGUGCAUAAUUAUGAAGGGUAAAAGAUUUUGUUUUUCAUUGUAUUUCACAAUCAAAUACGAUAAAUCAACAUGAGCAACAAAUUAAAACAGCUCACCACAAUAGAAUUUAUUAUAGUGACAGUUAUCAUAUUUAUUCAAAAUAAAAAAUUCACAAACACAUCCAACCAUUUAACAUGUUUCUUUUUCCAAUUCAAAUCUCUUUCAUUUUUCAUUAUUUAAUCGUGAUAAAAAUCACUGUUUUAGUCUUAUAGAAUUUAAUCGUGAAAGUAUAAAUUAUUAAGACACCUUGACAUUUAUUUAUUUUUUAUCAUUUUAUUUUAAUUUAUUUUUUAAUCACAUUAGUCCUUGGAUAUCAAUCUCAGUCAAUUUCUUUUUUUUUUAGAAACGAAAAUUGAACAGAAUUAGUAAAAUUUUAUAUCAUAGUUUACAUAAUAAUCUAUGUAUACUUGGUAGAUAGUUUUUAGAAAUUAUGAACUUACUACCAAAUGAGCUGUUGCCAAAAUACGAAAACAAACUCAAAUGUUUAAAAAGUAAUAUAAAUUUUAUCCAUCAAUAGAGAAAACUCGUACAAGCAGAGAAGAUAACAUCAAAUCAAGGAGCAUAUUGCAUCUGCAGUCCAGCACAGCAUACUAUAUAUGCUUAUCCCCAAGUUCUUCAACCCUUUAUUCCACUACCUAAGCCCCAUAUUUCAGCCAAAACAUUGGCCCUCGCCAAAUUCUCUCUUCUAUCCGAUCAGGUAUUAAGCCACUAAUAUUUCUACCCUAACAAGCCUAGUGCACAUCAUACAGCCCAUUUUGCUGCCAUAGCAAUUUUAGUAUCGUUUUCACAUGUGUCAUAUACAUCCGCUACAUGAAAUAUUCUUUUUGCCUACAUAAGCCAGAAGUAGCACAUGUCUUGCACAGAAUUUAUUCUAUCAGGAUAGACAAGCAAAGAAUUAUAGUUUAUGGAUAAAUCAGAAAUACAACCAUAAAAAAUGAAACAAACCACUAGAUUAAUAUUGAUUAUACACGGUUACAAAUUUCACUAUAAAACCAGAUCAACAAACGUGAGCUUUUAAAUUUUACUAAAACAUCUACUUGUUCUUUCAAGUGCGAUGUUCUAACAUUAGUUUUGAGAAAGGAAAAAAAAAACACUUGAGAUGGCGUCCUGCAAGAUCAUUCACCAGAUAUGAUCAAUAUUUUCGGCUAUGGUGCCUAAUCGCUUCUCCAUCCAGUUGAUUAUAUCCUGCCCUAUCUCUUCACGCUCGGGUUCAAAGAGAAGAUCAUGCAAGAAGCCUUCAUAGAGCUUUAUGUCUUUGAAGGUGGAGGAUGCCUCGUUGUAGAAAUCCUGGGAGGCGAGUGGAUCAGUGACUUUGUCUGCAGUCCCAUGCAGAACAAAGAAUGGGACUGUCACGGACUUAAAGUUCCGCAUCAAAUAAGAGGAAAUGCGCAAUAUCUCAUGCCCAGUUCGGGCCCUUAUUGGACCAGUGUAGACCAAGGGAUCAGAGUACUUGGCCAAGAGUGCGGCAGGGUCCCUUGAAACUGGGAUGCCCUUCUUGUUCGCACCUUUAAACUGGAGCUUAGGAGCAACCAGAGAAAAAAGAGGAGCAAUAGCCUGCAUAAAAACACCAUAUAUAUUUAUAUUUUAUAUAUAGAAAUUAAAAUAAAAAAUCAUGGAGGAAAAAAGUGGCAAUUCAUCAUAUCUGUUUCAAUCAGUACUAAAAUACCAAUUUGACGGGAUACAAGGAGGAUACAUACGAAUAUUGAGUUAAACCACAACCAAUUUUAUUCUUUAUAAUAUGUAAUUGAUAUUACACAGUAGCAAAAUGGUUAUACAAAACCAAAGCAACUCACAAAUCUCAACCACAAUAGUUAGAUGACAUGAUAGGGCAAAACCAUGAAAACAAUAUUCAAACUAAAACCAGACGAGCAGUCUCUAAAAGGAAUUAACACCUCCUAAAUACCUUUAUCUGCACAGAUCUUUCGCUUGACAGAAUAUAGACGUUUGAAAAGAACUAAGAAAUCGAUCACAAGAAGAAAGCCCGCAUAAAUGAAAGUGAUAUUAAAAAUAUUCCUUAGUUAAAUUAUUAAACCAAUAAUGGGUGAUUGGUUGGUCGAAGCACAUUUAACUUUUAACACUAAAGUUAAAGAAAUAAAAUUCGGAGGCAACUACAGCCUGAUUUAGCACGGUACAAAUAUAGAAUAAGAAGCAGCAACUUACCCCAACAAUUGGAUGUGCUGGUUUAACAUGCAAAGCUGGAGAGGUCAGCACAACUCCCUCCAGCAUUCCUUCAAUACGAGGAUGGGAAGCUGCCUGGUAAAUCACACCUUAUUUAAUUAAAAAGGUUCGGCAGAUAAUUCAGUUAAAGCAAUCGGCAGAUGUGAUACCUUCAAAACCACAGCUCCACCGGUAGAGUGACCAAAAAGGAAGCAAGGUACACCUGGGUUCUCUGAUUUGAUCUUUUCCAAGAAAGCCCCCUGGAAGUAGAGAGAAAAACUUAGCACCUUCUUGCAGGCAUAUUUUGAAUAAAGCCAAAGACUUCCAAGUUAUGGUUUUAGUUAUUUGUCACUGACCAGUAGUCAAGAUAGUAAACUUCAAAUUGUUAAUGGUUAAAAUGUUUUAUCAUCACAAGAGCAAUAGGGUUAUCCAAUUAAAUGUUAAAUGAGAAAGUAAUCAGAAAGAGUUAAUUUCAAUUGCACAUUAAAAGAAAUACAGAUAAUUAAACUACUUACAGUGUCUGCAACAACAUGAUCAAGUGAAGGAACAUAUCCAUGCAAUCCAUCACUGCCACCAUGACCUAUAGCAAUGAAGUUUUUCUCAUUACCACAACUUAAAAUCAAUACUCUUGAAUAGAUUUUUGCAAAACAAAAACAAAUGCAGAAAUACUUGUGUCAGAUUAUGUACCUAUCCAGUCCAUUGCAUAUACACCAAAGUUGCAAGAGAUUAGUUGCUUUGCAAAUUGAGCAUAUCUUCCACUGGAAAUGAACACCACAAAAACAGAGUGAAAAAUGAGGAAAUUCAUUUCCAAUGGGAUAAAAAACUGAGAUCUUCGUAGGCUUGAUUUAGAAACUAGUGUUACCUGUGCUCAUUCAGCCCGUGUAUAAUGAUCAAAAUUCCCCUAAAAGCACAGACAAGCAAGCAGUUAGGAGACGAGAGAGUAAAGCAAUGGAAUGAAGGCAGCCAUAUAAUAAAAGUAAAGAACAAAAGUAGAGGCUACUGCCUAGCAUGAUGCUACAGACAAACUAACAGCAAAGCGUUAUUUGUACAUCAACCCAAAAAGAAUGUAAUUGCUGAAGAAAGCAAAGCAUCAUUCCACCGAACUUAUACUAAAAUUCAAAAUCUUGAUCCACUCGAAUUAGCGUUCUAAAUAUAGGAAAUUGAAAAUAAGUUGAUUUGUGUAAAGACUCUACUAUUCUCGGGUCAUAAGCAAUUCAAAAGUUAGUAACUUAAGUUCAUAAUUAAGCACACAAAUUAAAAAGAAAAAUAAAGAACGUCGAUAAAAAAGAAGACUACCGCUUACUUUAGUUCACCGGUAGCCGGAAGCCAAGACCGGCUAAACAAGGCAUUUCUUCGAACGCCAAAGAACAGAGAUGUGUUCCAGCGGUACUGAAUCUCUCCGUCCUCGGUUUCGAACCCCAUGUUCAAACCCUCCGCCAACGAUCUCCUUCUUAAGGUGUCCUCCUCUUCUAGCCUCCAUAACGAUUUCCGCCUCGCCGUUUUAGCCGGAGAUUGCGGCCCGGAAGCAGCACCGUCAACCGCCGCAACAUCCGUCCGAAAUUGCCGGCGCCGAGGGAAGAGUAGGAUGAGGAUGUACAAGAUUACUGAUUGAAUGAAAAUCAGAGGAGUUCUUAGGGUUUUUAAGAUCGGGAUUAUCCGAUUGCUUGCUCCCGAUGUCAAUGGCUCCAUCUCCCCAGCCGUUGACAUGACAGAGAUGGCAAAAAAUCAAAUUAAAAAAAUGAAAAAAUAAAACCAAAACUAAAAAUAUAUGGAUAUGGAAAUAAGGAGAGGAAACAAAGGAAAAAAAGAGGUAAAAUUUUACAGGCCAGGGGCAAUUUGGCUGGAAUAUUUAUAAAGCGCGGGCAGGUUUCGGACAAGGAAACCAGGGGGGGGGAAAGAAAGAUCAAAGUAACGGCUGAGGUGACGUGGAAUGUUUGAUGGAGUGGGGGAAAUGAUUUUCAAUCUUGGAAGUAGGAUGGACGGCGAUGAUGGAGUGAGAUGUAUAGCGUGCUUCGACAUUUGGGUGUAGGAGAGUUUGAUUCUUCAUAGUUGAAAUUAGGAGAAGGAACAGUGAAGCUUACGCUAAGCAACAGAAAUUGAAAGAAACUCUACGCGUAGCCAGCCUCGCAGCUCGGCUUCCAAGCGCCAGAGUCAUGUUUUUAACUGUUUCUCCUUUGUGCGAAUAAUUAGACGAGAGACUGGUUAUCAACUCGACGACUCCCCCCCCCCUCCCCACUUUAUUUUUGUUCAUAGGAACAAAAAUGAAAAAUAAAAAUGUGGAGGAAAAAUAUAAAGCUCAAUAAUUUAUCACAAAUUUUAUAGAAUAUUAGGUAAAAUAAAAGUGUUUUUAAAUUCUGUCAUUAAUAUGAAAAUUAUUAAGUUUAUUAUAUAAUUAUAGUAAAAAUAAUUCGAUCUAGAAUUCAACUCGAUAAUUUUUUUUAUUUAAAUAUUUCUUAAAAUUUAUCUCUAGAGGGGAGACGAGACUACAGAAAAGUUACUGGAUUGUCUUCUUCUUCUCUAUUUCUUCACCAUCUUUUUUUUUUUUCACUUUCGUAUCAGAUACCGUGUAACAACUAAGUUAGUCUUAUACUUUUCAAAUUUUAAAAUAUCAAUUCUCGUCAAGUAAUAACAGUAAGUUCAUUAAAUUUUAUUAUUAAUAUGAUGAGGUAAAUAUAUUAUUGUAUGUCUAAUGCGUUGUUAACUUAUUAUUUUACAUUUUACUCGUUAAAAAUCUAAUUAAUAGAUUAACGACUAUCAUUUGUAUCAAUAUUAAAAUUUUAAACUUCAGAAAAAAUAGAGAAUUAGACUGAAUUCAAUUGUAGAAUAUAUACUAAAUAUACAAUUAUAGGCAUAAUAUAAUAUUAAUAGUUGAAUUUAAUUAAACAAAUUAAUAUAAUAUUAAUAAAUUUAAAAAGUAAAAAUUAAAAUUCAUCAGAUUAAAAUCUACAAAUUUCAUUAAAUCAAAAUUUAACCUAAAAGUUUUUGAGAGAAAGGAGAAAGUAUUUCUUUUGGUAAAUGAAGUUUACAUUUUUUCUAAAACUAUUUACUUAACUCAAUAGAAUUAAUCAAAACUAAAUAUAUAUUUUCCAUCAAAAUAUUAAAAAGUUUUGACUCGCAUAGCGGGCGUACUUCAGCCUUCAAGUGUAUAUUAUAAUCCGCAUUUGCCGGGUCGUACUAUUUGUCGGGUCGGUGAACCAAAAAGGUGACCGCCCUUUAAAUAGCCCCGCCAAACUAAUUAAAACCAUUAAUUUUGAGCAGCGAAAGGGAAGCCAGCCAAUAGCGCCAAGCGGAUAAAAGUCUCGACGAGCUGAGAAAUGAGAAUCAAGGAAGCAUCGAUGAGACCGUAACCCCCCACGACCUAUUUUCCUAGCCUCGAAUUCCUCGUCAUUACCGUCACUGAGAUUCUUACACGUGUCACAUUUUCAUAGUUGUUAUCCUUUUAAGUUUAUGGGUAAAUUAUGUUAGUAGUCACUCAAUUAUUAGUAUUUUUUUGUCACAUAAUUAUGAAAAGUUACAAAAUAUCAUUUAAUUAUUAGUAAAUUUUUUUGUCACCCAAUUAUGAAAGUUUAAAAAUAGUCAACCAACUAUUUAAUUUCGUCUUUUUUAUCAUCAAUUGGCAAACAGUGGUAGCUUUUUAAAAUUGGCAUAGUAACAAUUUUAACCCUCAACAUUUGUAUAUUGUGUCAAUUUAAUCUUGAUUCUAAAAUAUUUAACCCUUAAUAUACAUUGUGUAAUUUGGUCAUUUUUGUAAAUUUACUUUUCCAUGUGACCCAUUUCACUUAAAAAGCCAAAAAAAGACAAAUUUAUCAACUAAAUUUAAUUGAAAAUAUACAAAAAGAAAAAUAAGAGACCCAAAAUUCCGAAAUAAUAACUUUCGGCUUUUCUAAUUCUUUUAAAUUUAUCCCUCGAUGUCACAAAUAAAAAUAAAACUGAAAAAAAAGUACAAAAUGUGUAAAUGUGGAGUGUUAACUCUUUUUAGAAUCGAGACUAAAUUAAUAAUGAUUACAAAUGUUGAGGAUUAAAGUUGCUAUUGUGUCAAAUUUAACGACUAUCAUUGUUGGCUAACAGAUGACAAAAAAGAAAAAAAAAUUGAAUAGUUGGUUAAUCAUUUUAUAAAUUUUCAUAGUUGGGUGAUCAAAAGAAUACUAAUAAUUGAGCGACUGUUUAUUAACUUUUCAUAGUUAAGUGAUAAAAACAAAAUAUUAAUAUUUGUGUGACUACUAAUAAUUUACUCUUAAGUUUAUUUCAUCUAUUAGCUAAAUUAUUUUAUUUUAUUUGUAUCUGUUUAUUUUUAUUAUGACUCCUCGAAUUUCUAAGUCAAAAUUAAAGAUGAGUUCAUUGAACUUCGCACUCAUUUAAUUAUUUAGUUAUUGAAAUAGUAGUAAUGUGAACUAAAUUAACAUUUAAUCAUUAAAUAAUUAAUAAUAAACAAAUUAUUAGCAUCGUUUAUUAUAACAAAGACAUAAAUCCAAAUACAUUUAAACUAGUAAUAUUAUUCUUUACUUGUAAUGAUUUUCAUGCCUAAUACUUGUAAUGAUAAAUGACUUAAUUUUAAAAUAUUUUAUUAAUAUAAAAAUUUAAACGAGAUGACAAGGGUUUCUCUUAUCUUAAUUAAUGGUUGAGGGUUUAAUUAUUGCCUUAGAUAUGGAGUAGAUUUAAAACUCGUGAUCAACAUCUUAAUAAGCUUAUAGAACGCGGAAGAUUAAUUACUAAGCUUAAUCCUAUAAAUAUCUUAAGGGAAAAAAAAAUCAAAUUCAAACAUCAACAAUCUGAUAUUUCAUUUUAUUAUUGUUAUCAUUUGUCAUGUCCUUUACUUCUUUUUUCCUUUCGCUUUUCGUCGUAUUUGUCACGUCCUUUUCACGUUAACAUCGUGGCGGUUUCUCAUAUACUUAUCUUAUCCACUUUUUCUUUCUUUCCUUUUUAAUGGCUUUUUGGUAACAAAUAUUAUUUUCUUGAAUUUUGGUAACAAAUAAUAUUAAACAAAUUAACAGUAUAAAAUUUAAAAAAAUUAAUAUUUUAAUAGCUUAAAUAAAUUUUUUUGAAUAAUUCAAUGUUUUAAAUGAAAACUUUUAAAUAGGUUAAUUAUUAAAUUGUGUUUGUUUUUAGUUAAACAACCAAAAUAAAAGUUUAUACAUAAUUUAAUGAGUAAUAAUAUAACUUACACUUAAUUUAAUGUAAAAGAAAUAUUAAGGGUUUUAACUAACAAAAGAAAUAUCUAAAACAAUGAUUACAUGAUUGAUUAAGUUUGUGUUACGAGAUAAUUUGACAUUCACUUUAUCAAUAAAAUUACUUAAAAGUUAUUUUUAAUAAAGUAAUAAAUAUUAAUAUGAUGAUGCUUUUUGUCUUUUAUUAUGUUUAAAAUAAUAUUUAAAAGUAACAACUAAAAACUAAUUAUAUGGUCAUUCCUAAUAUAUAUAUCUAGCUCUCACUUUUUUUUUUUAUUAAGGUAAUACGAGAUUGUUAUAUUUUAGUAGUCAUGCAUGACGAAUUGGGGACGAUCUCUACCGAGAAUAUAACAUGGAGGGCCAUCCGUGAGUGCUUGCUAAACAAAUUUUCAUGUCACUAUGUGCCAAGCCGGGGUAGGAGUAUAAUAAGCUCAACUAUACAUUAAAUAUGGAUUUAAUUUAUAUAUUUUUAUUUUUCAAGUCUAUUUUAUGAUUUAUAUUCGAGGUUUAUAAACGUUUUCUUUAAACAAUGCCGCAUCUAAGGUUUGAACAUAUAUGUUCUCAUCGAAAAUGCAAUAUGUAUUAUCAUUGUACCCAACACUUAUUUGUUAAUCUAUAUAUUAUUUACACAAUAUACCUACUAUAAUAAAAUAUAUAAUUAAUUUAUUGUCUUGAAUUAAGCGAUAUAAACUCAAUAAAAGAAAUUAAAAUACAAAUUUUUAUAAUAUUAUAAAACUUUUUUGUGUUUUAUUUAUUUAUAUAAUAAUUAGAAAAACUUAAAUUUAAAUUUCAGUAUUCAUUUCAACUAUAUAAAUACCUAAUUUAAUUUAAAAAAAUCAUUACCUUUUCAAGAAAAUGUUAUUAUAUUAAUUUUGGAAAAAAAAUGAUAAAUUGUUUUCUAUCUAUUAAAAUUGAAAGAUGGGCUUGCAACGGUAUGAACGGCAAUAGUUUGUCGGCUCAUAAUAUUGAAUAAACAUGGACCAUCAAGUAGGGUUUUAAGCAAAUUAAUGGUCCAUUUGGACCAUCAUCUAGAAACUUAUGGGCUUAACGAUUUUAUAUUUGGGCGUUAAAACGAUAUGCCUGUAUGGUUUUCAUUAUUUUAAGAUUUUGGAUAAAAACCCAACCCAAUACCUUAUGCUUUGAACGGAAGAUAAUGGGCUUUCACAAAUAUUAAAGCCUUGUCCCCCACUGUAUUCCAUCACAUAAAAAAGAAGAGACGUAAAUGUUAGUAUUAUUAUUUUUAUUUUUAAGCAUAAAGUAAUUAAUUUUAAAAUUUAAAUUUAUAAAUAACAUUUAAGUGGACCUUAGUCUUGGUCUAAAAUAGGGACCAAAGUUUUUUUACUGGGGAGAUGGUAUUCAUGAUUGGGCUCUAUAAUUGCUUGCUGCCUGGUCGACGAUUCUCAAACCCCUAAAAUUUGUUGUGUAAAAUUAAGCAAAGUAAGGCUUAGGUGUUGCAAAAUCUCACAUUGAACGUAAACACCACACGUGCGAUAGACUCAACUUUAGGGUUUAAAAGCGUGAAUGAUGGACCGACCUUUCCAAAAAUACUUUGAAUUUUUUAGUCAUUUCAUUGGACCAUUCUCCUAAAUCUUCAAAAUCUUUGAAGUGUUUGUUCACCGUGAAAACGACAUUAAUUAAGCUUACUAUUUGGGCUUUUUGCCCUUAAAGUACACCUUUAAUUGAAGGAAAGAACGAAAAGGUCCAUUACAACCUAUCUCUUUCAUGCACAUACCUUAUCAAUUAAUGAAAAUAAAUCCAAAUUUAAAUGAUAAAAAAGAAAGUAUCGAUACGAGGGAGGUUCUUUUUGUUGCAAUUACUGUUGCUAAAGGUUGAUAAUUUAGGAGACAAGUUAAAAGGUUGGUCGGUUAAAGCUUUAUUAAUGUCAUGUUGGGGAACGUGACGUGACGUGAUUGGCUACUAGGAUAUCAGAGGAUCGCAAAAGACACUAAGUACUAAUAUAUGUAUGUCAAUUGCUGUAAUUAAGGGCGUUCAAUUUAUUAGGUUUAGUUUCGAUAUAAAAAAUAAGUAAUAAAUAUAUUUAUUAAAAGUUUAUAUAAAAAUUAAAUAAAAUUUUGAUUGAAAUGAUAAAAUAUUUUAUUGGUUGAAUUCUUAUUAUGAUUGAAUUUUAGUGAUUUUUUUUAUAAAGCGUAAAAAGAUUAAAAAAAAACACAUUCAUAAUAAUUAAAUUAUUUUGUGCUUGGUUGACUAAGUAUAAGUAUAAAUAAUUAUAACAAAAAAUUUAUAUGAUUUAAUAAAUGAAGUAUUGUGGAGAUAUUGAUUUUAAAUAUUUAAAUUCGGAACUCACCGUGUAUAUUGUAAUGUGUAAGCAUUAAUUCAAUUAAUCCAAUUCACAAUAUUGUAUAACACUUUAAAAAAAAUUAUUUAAAAUUUAUAUUAAAAAAUUAACAUUUACAAUCUAAUAUCAAUUUUCAUUAUUAUUUUUUUCUGGUGAAAAAAGAAUUCGUUCAUGUUCCAUUUUCAACUUAAAUCAGGAACUUGGAAAGGUUUCGUUAAUGGGAUUCAUGUGCAAAGCUAACUCAGUAUUUCUUUUUUCAAAUUUUUUUGAAUGAAGAACAAAAUUGAAGAAGAUUUAGAAGAUAAAGUGUUAUGGGCAGUGGUUUUCAGCUGCCAUGUGAGCCUCAAAUUGGCUGAUCACCGACCCUAAUAAUCCCACGUUAUAAUCUCAGUGGACCCUUUGCGCCCGACAUUUGUGAUCACCCUCUAUAUUAAAUCUAUUCUUUAUAAAAGAAAGUGGGAUAUUCAAGUUAGCCCAAAAGCAAUACAUAUAUACUAAAGUUUCGAACUUAUUGAUCACUCUCUGGACCACUAACAAGAACACGAAACCCUAAAAUAAAAAUUUGCAAAAGAGGAGAUUCAGACCCUUAUUCAAGGGAUACGGGUCGGCUCCACGUCAUGCAUGCUUCAUUCGAUGAAUUGUGGGGAAAUAUAUUUAAGAAAUAGAUAAAGAAAGAAAGAAAGAAUUAUAUGAUGUAAGUACAAAUUGAAAAGCACUAAAACUAGUUUAUUGUUUAUAAUGCUCUUUUACAGCAUGUUAGUAUAAAUCAACUUUUUAAUGUUAUCUUACAAAGAGAAUAUUGAACUGAAUUAGGCAUUUGAUUUGAUCAUCCCACCUUCUAAACCCCCAAAACAGAUAAAUUAUUUUAGUAUAAUAAAUUUGAUUAGGUUCUAGAUGUACAGGAGUUCCACUAGGAACAUAAUGUGGUUUUGUAUCUUUGCUAUUUAUUUAAAAAUUUGUGUUAUGAUUUAAUUUCGCAUGAAUUCGAUUAAUAAAUUAUUAUUUUUUAAAACAAAAGUUAUAUUUGAAGAGAAAAAUCUUAAAAUUAUAUAUGAGUUACGGUUUAAUGUGUAAUUGUACACGUGAACUUUAAUUUAGUACAAUUUUAUACAUGAAUUUUUUAUUUGAUUAAAUUCUUAUAAAUUAUUAACACAAUUAUUGAUAUAACAUCAUUUUAUAUUUAUAGAUUGUAAAAAUACAUAAUUAUAUUUAUUCAAUGUGUAUUUAUUUCUUUAAAUGUGUAUGAUUAAAUCAAAAUUAAAGUUUUAAGUGUACAUUUGAACACAACUAGAGUUUUGUGUGUAUAUUUGCACCAAAUUAAAAUUAAUGUAUAUAAUUGCAUAUUAAAUCAAAAUUCAUAUAUAAAAUUGAGAUUUAUUCCUAUAUUAAAAAACACUAAAAAUACUAUAAAAAUGAUCCUUUAAAAGAUUUGAAUUUGAUAUAAUAGGUGAACCUUGUCAACACAGUCAAAAUUUAAUUAAAAAAAUUAUUUAUAAUUUUUAUUAUUUUGUAAAUAAUAUUUUUUAAAAAAAAAUUAUAUUAUUUUUUAUUUCUUUCACCUAUAUCGGGUGUACCAUAAAAUUAGUAUAUAUAUGUUUUUCACAUAAAUAUGUUUUAUAAUCAAAUUUAAAAAGAUAUAUAUUUGAUUUAUUAUAAAGUGUCAUGUAUCACAAAAUGAUACUAUUAAGAUAUCAGUUAGAUAAUAAAAUAUAAUUCGGAUAAUAAAAAAAUUAAGUACCAUAAAAAUAUAUUAAAUUUAACUUAAAUCCAUGUUUAUAAAAGAUAAUAAAUAUUGAAGGAAUUAGAAUGAAUAUCAUUAUUAAUUCAGGCAAUUAGUGGUCAUGGAUUACUCGUGCAGCUCGUGUCCAUUCAAGUAGUGGGAUUCAUCACACUUACACGCACCAAUAAACUAAAGCAAAAUAUGUAAAUGAUCUCUUCUCUUUGAUAUCUUGUACACAACAUAUUAUUAAAUAUAAAAAUAUAUAAAGGUGGGUGUUAAGAAGAGUUCUAGAUUCUUCAAUCAUAUCUCAUUUUAAGAAAAUAAUAUAGUGGAACCAUUUUUUUACACAUAACGACACAAUUUUAUAGUACCAUAUUUGUACAACAUUCAUAUUUGUUAACCAAAAUCCAAGUAUAUGUGCGAUCCCUAUGGUUGUCAACAACUAUUUUGGACUAUAUAAUAAAGGACAGUGCUAUAAGCACUCAAAUAAUGCAUCGUUUGGGAUAAAAAAAAAAAACAUAGUGAAGGUUUAAAUGAAAGUUUUUUUCUUAUAAAUUUAAUAUUAAGGUUAAUAUAAUACAGUUAAUCGUAUAUAGUUUUUAUGCAUAGUCAAUUGAUCUCUAUCCAAACAAUUGAUUUGGAUCCAACUUGUUCCUUUGAUAGGGCAGUUUUGUUUGGAUUUAUUUGGUUUAUUCGGCUUUGAUAUUAAAAGUUAGAUCUGUUAUUGACUACAUCAACCUCUAACACCAAUUUUUGUAAUAUGCAUUGAUAAUGAUAGUAAAACGAUCGGAAAACAAUAAAAAAAAAAGAACACAUAUAGAUUUUAUAUAAAAGACUUUCAGGAAAAAACUACUGGUAGAAGAGAAGAAAUUCACUAAUAUUGAAAAACGAAUGAUACAAGAGAAGUAUUGACUACAUCUAUUUAAAAGUCGAAAAAUUUUUAUUUUAAUCAAUGUCAAAUAGAAUAAGUAUAGUUUUAUAUGGAUUUUACUUAUACAGCCCUCGACCUCUUGUCCCGAUAGAUCCCUUUAUUUUACCACUGAAUUUAUUUCUUCAACAAGGAUUCGAGUCACACAAACUCUAACAUCAAUCAAUAAGUCAUGUAUCAAGUUUGGAUCAUCAUCCUAUGAUUUCUACUUUGCCAAGCAGCCUCCAGAUUCGACAUCAGCUCUACAGAGUUCCCAAAGCUGCCAUCACCAAUAUCAAAUAUUAAUUAAACCUACCACACGACGAGAACUUACCAUGAUCAAUGUAUUGCUCGGACCCCUCGGCUCUCUCAGAGUAUCCAGUAUACACAGUCACUUUCGGUCAUCACUGCAUUCACAUAUAACAGAACCACAUCGACGUUUGGUGCUGCCGCUGCAAUCUUGGGUCCAAUUCCUUCAACUCUUUUAAUGGAUUCAUUUUACACGGGAUACACCAAACUCCAUUGCCAGAUGCUCUUAACCAAAUCUAUACUACUAUAAAUCCGACAGUCCUAGCUUGUGCAUAUUCACUCUUUUGUUUGCACCGGAAGUGGACGAAGAUAUUUCAAGAAAGUAAAAAUUUCCAUUCAAAAAUCGGGCCCAUUCAACAGGAUAUAUACUCCUUACAGCGUGGAGUUUUUAUAACCAGCUCACUGUCUCAUCAUCCUAUCCACCCAUCACUCUACAGAUUGGCUUAUCAUGCGGCGUCUACUUAGACCCAUAGGGAUUGGCACUCCUCUAUUAUUACUACUACAUACACCUGAUGCUAAUGUAUGAUACUAUGUUUUUUUUUAUCCAUUUACCCCCAAAAAAUAAAAAGGUUUUUUAAGGGAUAAAUCAAAUUGUUUACUGGUUUGGGAAAUAAAUAUAAUAUCUAUCUAAGAUUAAAGAGCAAAAUUUAAAGAAAAAAUUUCACAUUAGAGAAGUAUCAUAUUGUGUUAUCAGUUGAUAAUUUAUACAUUACUAAUACAUUGUGAAUUAUAUGUAUUAUCUGGAUGAGUACAUACAACAUUUUUUAAUUACUAUAAAAUAGCAAUUAUAUGAUGGGGAAGACGUUCUUUUUUUCUUUUAUCUAAAGUAAAGAAGUUGUUAAACAAAAAAAAAAAAAAACCCAAGGUAAAGGGGUUGUCCAAUGUUGAACUUGUGAGUCUGUGACGUCAUGUCAACAAAGAAUUAAGGUAAAUGAUAACUUAAUUGGUUGAAUAGCAAAAUAUUUCCAUCAAUUUGAACUCUUAAUUAAUAAUAGGAUUACAGUUUGAAUUUGGAUAAUUUGGUCUUCCUUUUUAUAAAAAAUAAGAUAUUUGCUUUUUAGCCACUAAUAAUUUUAAAUAUUCACAUACAUCUUGUUAAUUAGUGAGGUAAAUAAAGAAAAAAGAUGAUGGUAGAGAAAAAGGGGAGGAGAGGUGAAAGUUGAGAGAGAUGUUAUUGUUUAUAGAAAAGCAAGAGAAUUUAGAAAGAAGAAAUGUCUAUGUAAUUACUUGUGAGUUGUUUGUAUGGUCUUUUUAUAGUGGGAUGCAAACUUGAAUACGUGUCUUACGGUCACUCUCACUGACAUAGAAGUCUGAUUUGAUACUCUUAGCAGUGACGAUAGUGACACAUUUUAGGAUGAGGCAUUUUAGGGUGACUAGCAAUCAACUAUCUUGAGCCUCUGCGUCAUCCUUAUAUAGUCUUAAUAAAGAUGUCUCUUUCCAAAGUUCGUUGAGUUAAGGUUUACAAAUUAACCUUGAGUUUGUAAUAUCGUUGGUUCAAUUGAAAGAUACACGUCUAAUUUUCUAUAAGUACACUGUAAGGUCUACAAGGUAUGUUGAGAGUUCAGUGAGGAUGUGAGAUAUAAUACACCCUUAGAUUAAUCAUAUUGUAUACCCAUUAUGUGAGAAAAAAACUUUUGAAGCAAUGAUGAUUUUUUUUAUAGAAUAUAAACAUUUUUAUUAAAAAUAAAUAAAAAUAAAAUGAAAUAAUCACCUUUAUGUAUAUAACAAAUAAUUAGAUUGAUGAAGUAUCAAGAUUUUUUGAAUUAAUGUCAAUUAACUCAUAAUUACUAAAACUCAAUCAACACUUAACUAAUAAUAAUAUAUAGGUAAAUCCAAUCUUAUUGAAGUCAAAGUCUAAAAUUAUAAUGAGCAUAGAAAAUGGAGAAAAAAAGAGAGCAAAGCAUGCAGGGAGGUAUGACAAAGACAACACACUGUAUAUUCCUUCGAGAAAGAAAUGGUGGGGUCUCCCUCAAUCCCAUACCUCCCAUUUCCAGAGAGUAUCGCACGAGCACAACAUUUGUGUACCCUUAGCUACUCCCUUUCCCCACUAUGCUCUCUAUUCUUAUCUACAUCUCUCUUCAGUUUUGUUUAACCCAAUCUCUCUUUUAUCUAUGACUUACCUCUACCUUAUAAUCGUAUUUAAGUAUAUUAUAUAUUAAUUUAUACAUAUUUAUGGUUUCCCCCCCCCCUUUAUUUGUAACUCCUUUCUAUUUGCUUUUUAAUGUGUAAAAGGGGAUGUCCUUUUCUCUCUUUAGGGGGGGGGGUUAAGAGAGAGAGAGAGAGAGAGAGAGAGAGAGGGGAGAAUCCAAGAUAAUAAUGAUAUAAACAGUGAGUCCAAACAAAAAGGGAGGUUGAAGAAAUGUGCUUUAACGUAAGCCAUUUGAUGAUAAUUUUUAUUCCUUUUUCUCUGCCCAGUAUCCCUCUCUACUUUUACUAUACACUCUACAGUUACCAUUGGAAUUGGACACAUUAUUUUCCUUUCCUUCUUUUCUCUUCGUUCACAGUUCACACUUGAUAUGAAUAAAAAAUCAAAGUAUUUAAUAAAUAUAAUAUAAAAAAUAAUACUAAUAAAAAAAUAAAAUUUUAAUUUAAUAAUUCCUGAUGUGAAUUCAAUAAUUUUUUAUUAGAUAUAAAUGCAUCUCAAUUCAUAAUUUCUUCUCACAAACUCUUACAUAACAAAUUAGAUGCGGACACACAGUCUAGUUAAUUACUAGCUUUGAGUGCAUUAAUAAUAAUUUUUAUUCACUCCACGUUUACUUUGCUAGUCAAAGCCUAAUCCAUGGUAUUUCUGAUUAAUAUUAUUAUUAUUAUUAUGACACUGGUUUAAUCUCACUUCAUUGCAUCUUCUUUGGACCCAAAAUUAUAAUUUUGACCAAGAAAGGAUGGGUGGAUUAUUGGCAAUAAUAACACAUCUGCAAGGGCUAAAAACGUGGUUUUACUUUCAUCAAACAUCAAGAUUACACUUGAUUAUAAUGUUGAAAACUCAAUCUGUAAUCUGGGUAUACAAAAUAAUGAAGUUUCAUUAGAAAAAUAUAAAAUAAAAGGGAACAUAAGCAUGCAUAUAAGUGAGCCAGGUCACAUUCUAGUAAACAAUUAAGUUGAAACAUAAAAACAUGAGGUCAUAAAAUUAAAUAUAGAAAAAGGUUAAUCAAAACAAAGCUUUUUCAACGGUUACAGAAAUGAAAUCCCAGUUUCAGUCAAAAGAGCAUAUUGUUGGUAAUAUCCGACAAAAUCAGAGCUUUUUCUUUUUCUUCUUUCCAACAUAUGUCCCUGUUUUCACUUUCAACCGUUCGAUGUUUCAAGGCAAAGUCAAGUUGCAAUCUUGUAAUUAUUUGUUAAUUCAAUGCCCAUUUCCCCAUUACCAUCUAUUUAUACAGUCUCUGAUCAACUCUCUCACCCUACCAUCUUCACUUCAAUAGUUGCAAAAAAGGGGGAAAAAAAUACAUACAUUUUUCUUCUUCUCUGUGGGAAAAUCCCACUAAUAUUUGAAAAUUUCUGUUAUCUAAUGAUUACAUUUAGGUAUCUUACUAUACAUUUCACUCAUAUUUUAUUGUCGUUUAAGAUUUAAAUCUUUCCAUGCAUGUUGUUUUGUUAAUUAGUCUCUCCUUUUGAUUGAAUAUAUAGGUUCAUGCACAUAUAUAAUAUAUGUGAUAAAGUAUAACCUUUUGUUUAAUUGAUAUAUGUAUGUAUGUAUUGAUCAUUUAUUUUUUUGCCUUCCCAAACAGCUUGGGAUCCCUGGAGUUAUAUCAAAGAUCAUCUAAGGUAUCAUCAAAGUAAAGAUAUGGCAAAGACAGGAGCUCAAGCAAGUCCAGUUGUAGUGUUCUCCAUGUUCAUGUUGUUCAUAGUCUUGUUUUUCAGUUUUGUCGUGUCUGAUAAUGGUAAAGAAGUUGAGAUUCUAUUGUCUUUCAAGUCUUCGAUCUAUGACCCUUCUGGUUUCCUCUCAAACUGGGAUUCCUCAGCCACUUUUUGCCAGUGGCACGGCGUCACUUGCAAUAAUAAUCUCUCUCAUGUCGACAAACUGGAUCUUUCUGCUAAAAACUUAACUGGUAAAUUAGUUUCCUCCUCGAUUUUCCAUUUGCCUUUUAUUCAAACUUUGAACAUCUCCAACAAUCAGUUUUACGGUGAAAUUCCCGAGGAUAUAUUUUCUUCUUCAUCUUCUUCACUUCGGUUUCUCAACCUUAGUAACAAUAAUUUCACCGGUCAAAUACCAAGCGGUUCCAUUCCUGGUCUCGAGGUAUUGGAUCUUUCAAACAAUAUGCUUUCCGGGAAAAUCCCACCAGAAAUCGGAUCGUUUUAUAGUCUAAAAUUUCUUGAUCUGGGUGGGAAUGUUUUGGUUGGGGAAAUUCCAGUCUCGAUAACAAACAUCACCAGUUUGCAGUUCUUGACUUUGGCUUCAAAUCAAUUAGUCGGCCCCAUUCCACAUGGAUUAAGCAAAAUGAAGAGCUUGGAGUGGAUAUACGUUGGCUACAACAAUCUGUCGGGUCAAAUUCCUGAAGAAAUUGGUAUGUUGACUUCCUUGAAUCAUCUUGAUCUUGUCUACAACAAUCUCACCGGUGAAAUCCCAUCAUCCCUGGGGAAUCUCAGCGACCUUCAGUAUCUUUUCCUUUACCAAAACAAGCUUACAGGUUCGAUUCCAGACUCCAUUUUUGGACUCAAAAAGCUGGUUUCUCUCGAUCUUAGUGAUAAUUCAUUAUCUGGUGAGAUCUCUGAACUCGUAAUUCACUUACAAAACUUGGAGAUUCUUCAUCUUUUCUGCAACAUCUUUACGGGUAAAAUCCCCAAGGCUUUAACCUCUUUGCCUCGUCUUCAAGUCCUUCAGCUUUGGUCCAACAGAUUGUCAGGUGAGAUUCCAGAAAGUCUUGGAAGGAAUAAUAAUCUCACGAUUCUCGACCUCUCAACAAAUAAUCUCACGGGUCGGAUACCAGAUGGACUUUGCAGUUCGAGUCGGCUUUUUAAGCUCAUUCUUUUCUCAAAUUCGCUUGAAGGUGCCAUUCCAAAGAAUUUGAGCACUUGCACGAGUUUGCAGCGAGUAAGGCUUCAAAACAAUCGUCUGUCAGGCGAGUUAUCCUCGGAGUUCACGAAGCUGCCUCUCGUCUACUUCUUGGAUGUCUCGAACAACGAUCUCUCCGGCAACAUUGGAGACCAAGAAUGGGACAUGCCGGCGCUUGAAAUGUUGAGUUUGGCAGGAAACAGGUUUUCCGGAAGGUUGCCUAACUCAUUCGGGAGCCAAAAGAUUGAGGACCUGGACUUGUCAGGGAACGGAUUUUCAGGUACAAUUCCACGUAGUUUCGGAAGUUUAACGGAGCUCAUGCAAUUCAGCCUAUCUGCAAACAAGCUAAUCGGUGAAAUCCCCGAGGAAUUAUCUUCAUGCAAGAAGCUCGUGAGUCUAGACUUGAGCCAUAACCAACUCAGUGGCCAAAUUCCAUCAGGUUUCGCUGAAAUGCCAGUUCUUAGUCAGCUUGACUUGUCGGACAAUCAAUUAUCUGGUGAAGUUCCACCGCAGUUGGGGAAGAUGGAAUCACUGAUUCAGGUGAAUGUUUCUCACAACCAUUUACAUGGUAGUUUACCAUCUACCGGGGCCUUUCUCGCUAUAAAUUCAAGUGCAGUUUCCGGUAAUGAUCUUUGUGGUGGAGCUGAAACGAGCGGUUUACCACCAUGCAAGAAGGUUAAGAAUCUGAAUUGGUGGUUCUAUGUUGCUUGCUCGCUCGUUGCUUUAGUUUUGCUUGCGUUUGCUGCUUUUGGCUUCAUAUUCAUUCGAAAAAGAAACAAUUUGGAGCUGAAGAGAGUGGAAAACGAAGAUGGAAUCUGGGAAUUACAGUUCUUUGAUUCCAACGUUUCAAAGUCAGUAACAGUCGAUGAUAUUACACUCUCUGCAAAACAAGUAAAUGGUAUUUGCAGAGGCAAUAAAUCGUCUGCAAAUGAUUUCCAAUUCGUGGUGAAAGAAAUGAACGACGUCAACUCAAUUCCAUCGAGUUUUUGGUCUGAAAUCAAACAACUCGGCAAGCUUCAGCAUCCAAAUCUUGUUAAUCUGAUCGGAACAUGCCGGUCGGACAAGAAUGCAUAUUUGGUUUACGAGUACAUAAAAGGGAAACUUUUAAGUGAAAUCCUUCACGAAUUAACCUGGGAAAGACGGCGUAAAAUCGCCAUGGGGAUUGCCAAAGCUCUUAAGUUUUUGCAUUCUUACUGUUCACCAAGUAUAAUUGUGGGAGACAUGUCGCCGGAGAGAGUUAUCGUCGACGGAAAAGAUGAACCUCGCCUACGAUUAAGCCUUCCCGGGCUACUUUCAACGGAAAACAAAGCCUUCAUUUCUUCGGCGUACGUUGCCCCAGGUACGUGAACAAUAAUAAUACAUAAUAGUAUAGACUUUUUUUUUUAAUUGAAAAUUUCCCUGUUUAACUGUGAGAAUAAUAGUGCAAUGUCAACUUAAUUAUGUAAUCCUGUCGCAUAUGAAAAUUUUUUCUUGGCAAUUUAUAAUUAGUCAAAGCAGAAAUUAUGAGAUAUUAUUAUGUCUGGCUCUUAGAUACUUCAAACAAUAACUUUAAAGCAUUUUAUCAUAAUUUAUUUUAUAAAAGAAUAUAUAUGAAUCUUAAUGGUUAGGUGCUUAGACACUUGAACUUCAACAAGGUUUUACAUAUUAAAGGAAAACAAUUUAUUCAUAUAUUAGAUAUUGAGUUAAUAAUAUUUUUCUACAAAUCCAUGCACGUGCAGGUUGCUAAUGUAUGUAUAUUUAUUUUUAUUUUCUUUUCUCCUAUAAUAUAUUUGGCAGAAACCAGAGAAAGCAAAGAUAUGAGUGAAAAGAGUGAUAUAUAUGGAUUCGGCCUGAUUCUGAUAGAAUUAUUAACGGGGAAAAGCCCUGCGGAUGCUGAAUUUGGAGAUCAGCACCAAAGCAUGGUAGAGUGGGCCCGUUAUUGCUACUCAGAUUGUCAUCUUGAUAUGUGGGUUGAUCCCAUGAUCAGGCCAGGCCAUGCAUCCGACGUCAACCACAACCAGAUCGUCGAAACCUUGAACCUAGCUCUCCAUUGCACCGCGGGUGACCCCACCGCUCGCCCCUCCGCAACCGAUGUAUCCAAAACUCUACAGUCUGCUUUCAGAAUAACUUCCUGUGUUUCAACCCUAAAGCUCUCUUCAUCUGUUUAGGCUUCUUUAUAAUUAUAUAUUAUAUAUUAUAUAUAGCAUGAUUUUGUUCAGAAUUUUUGUUUUUUGGGUUAAUUUCCUUUUUGGUUUCAUGGUUUCUAGUUGUAAGUUAUUAAAAUGAUUGUCGUCGUCACUCAAAUGUUCUGUUUGAUGGUAUGCUAAAUACAUACUAUUGAGUGUAAAAAUGUAGAUAAAUCAAACGCAAUUAUAUAUGAAUUACAAUUUUUGUUUCUUCACAGAUUGUAGAGUAUAAAUAUAUAUAUAUCUUUGGAGGUCUUCUAUAUGCCUCCAUGGCUCAAAGAUUUAAAAAGAAAAACCCAUAGCCUGUAAUAAAUGAAGUAAUUAUCAAUGUUAAAUCUAGUGUUAGAUUUUAAAAAUCUAAUUAUACGAAGGGUUACUAGCUAGUAAGUGGAUAUCCCACUGGCAAACCCACUCUUUGGGGUGAAAAAAAGAUAUUGAAAUCCCAUUUUUUGGAAUGGAACAGAAAACCUGAUAUGCAGAGACCAUUGUUUUCUUUUUUAUCUUCUUUUACAGCUUGUUUUUUAGACAUUGAAAAUGGCAUAUAAGGAUCAGACAGAAUUCACAUGGAUUUGGGACUCAACACCAUGGCCUACUUCCUCCAUUUCCAUUUCCUUUUAUCUUCCCUUAUUCUUGUAGUAAUUUUGACCCUUUUCACACUUUUGUUUUGUAAAUAUUAGCCAGCUCAAAACAAAACACUGCUCGCUAAUUUCCUUUCAUGCCCAUGGAAAAAGAAACUAGAGAGUUCAAAACUUGUUCACUUUCUCGUUUGUAAUAACCAAGUUGUUGACUAUAUAUAACGUUGAAGUGGGUUUAUUGGUAUCCUACAAUGACUUGCAAAAGAUCUUCUGCUCUUAUCCAGAGAAGGGCAACGCACGCCUUGUUUGUUCUUUUUCUGCUCCCAUUAUAUAAAAAUAUUGUUUAAUAUAAGACAUGCUUGGCUGCUUGUUUACACCAAAAGUCUAAAGUUAGAUCACAAAGGGAAUUGGGGCCUUCUUCCCUAUAGCCUUACAGAUCGAUUGAUUGAGAAAAUGGAGUUUCCACAAUCUAUAAAUGUUUGACCCUUUUUAGAGUUUGGUUUGCAUGUGAAAAAUUUUGCUUUCAACGGCAGUGAAAAGGCUUGGUUUCACCACGCGCGCCCAGAAGCUAUCGAUUAGGUCAAACAGCUAGAAAACAGGGACAUUGCUCAUGCUUCAAUGGUGGACCACUGUCUGUACUAAAUUCCUGAUGUCUUGAUGAUGAUAUUGUUUGGCUUAUUGUCGGAACACUCUUUUGGAAUUGAAAAAAAAAGGCCAAAAUGGUACUCUUUUAACAAUCCCAUAUAUUCAUAUGUAAAAAAAGGUAGCUUGAGGCUUGAGCCAUUGAGGUAUAAAGGCAAACUGGUAUAAAAUGACUGCCUUUUUUUCUCUUCACACAUGACAGACAAUGAUCAAAAGGGUUUUAAUAUUUCAAUAUCUGGUUUACGAUGAAGUAAGAAAAAAAAAAUCUUACAGGGGAUUGGAAUCCUUGGUUAUAAGGAUUUUUUAAAAUUUUACAGCAAUUGAUUGUUUGAUCUUUUUAAUGAGAUGGGGCUCAUUUCUUUUUUCUGACCUUUCUUGUGACAAACUUUUGCCUUCAAAGUGGCAAUGAUGAUGUUGAAGUUUUUUAUUUUUAUUUAUUUUAUUUUUUAUCUUUGUUGUUUUUCACUUCCAUUCUCUGUGAGUAAUGAUAGCAUUGACAAAACCCUUUUUUUUUUCUUUUUAUCUUUUAGCCAAUCAGAACUAUCAUGGGGGAGAUCGGAGCUCACAUUGUUGGAAGAUUCCAUCGCUAAAAGAUCAAACUUUAGGCUUUAAGCAUUAAAAAUAAAAAAAACUUUGUGUGAUGUUUCAUGGAGCAAACCAGCUCAAUUUUGCUGGCAGAGUUUGUUUUUUCGUAACGUUGUUUAUCUCAAAAGCUUCAAGAUAUCAAUUAUGGUUUUUUUCUUUCUUGGAGACCAUGCAAAAAAGUCUCUUCGAUCGGCUGCUUUCUUCUAUUAAGAAAAAGCUCCUUUUCUCUUCUCCAAAAACUUAUUUUCCUUUCUUUGAUUCAAUGGGGCAUAGCUGGUGAUCUUCUCUUUCAAAUUAUUUUCCGUUUAGAUUUCAAAAUUCCAAAAGUUUUUCUUUUUUGCACAUCACAAGAAGGGAAAGUUUUUACAUAUCUUAACAACAACCCACUUAGCAACAUCUAUGGAGUUCUUGAUAUAGGAGAAAUGAAAAAGUGGAAUGAUUUUUGCAGUUUCAAUUUGACCAAUUAUUAGCAAUAAAGGGUUUUUUCUUUUUUAUUUAAAACCCGGUUUUGCUGACAUUUUUGUUAUAUCAUGCUUAGCCAAGGCCAGCUUCCAUUAGCUUUUUUUAUCAAGGGCUUAAAUCACAGCCAUUGAGUUAUAUAAAUGGAAGACCACCUUUUUAUAAUUGGAGAAACUACUGUUUCUAACAGUUAUGAAUCAUUUCAAAUUUUUCUAACAUAAUGUCAAAAUUAUUCAUCAAAAAGGUUAUUAAUCUGUUUUUAAGACUGUCUCAUAACUUUAUUAUCCCACAAGCCUUUUCUUCCUCAUAGAUUCCGGUGUAGGAUCAACCACAUCAAAUCAGUCAACUAACUGAUAAAUGAUUUGUGUUGAUAUUUCGAAUUCAAACUUGCACAGUUUCUUUCUGUUAUAUUAAAAAACCCUAGUCCCUGCAAGUUCUUAAAACAUCAUUUUCAUUCAUAUGUAACAUUCCUAAGACUGCUAUAUAUCUAUAGAUAGUUUAUCAUGGGCUUGAAGUACUAUUUAUCACUAGUCAUGUUAAUUUGUUAACUAAUUAUUGAAGUUUUACUAUAAAACAAAUGGAACAUGGUGUAACACUGCAACCAAUAACAUCAAGAAAUGGGUUUUGAAUGAUUCAAUAGAGUAGGUACUGUAGAUGUACUUCAUAGAUAUAAGGUUCAAGUUUUAUCCAUGAAUAAAAAUAAUCUUGAAAUGAUCAUUAGUGGAUGAAGGUGAUGAAAGAUUACAAGGAUUGACAUUGACUCAAGAUGUGAAAGAAAUUUAGACUAAUCAUGAUACUGCAUAUCAGUCUAUAAACAUGGAAAAAUGAUGUUAAUGGUCAAAUAUGGUGGAAGGAUAUGGAAGAUUUGAUAAUCAUAUUAUUAUUUUUUAGUGGAAGUCUUUAGCGAAGCGCAUUGUAAGUUAGGAGGAUGACAAAUUCUGUUUUCCAAGUGUACAAUAAAGGGGGAAAAGAAAAGAAUAAAGGGUGAAACUCAGUAUUGAAUCUGAAGCAAAAGUAAGAAUAGAGAUAACUUAAUCAUGGUGGGGUUGAGAAUUCCUUAUCUGAUUUUACACAUUUCAAGAACUUUUUUUGUUCAUCCAGCAAUAGCAGAUUUGACUGAUAUGUUUGGCCAUUUAAGGGAUAUAAAAUCAAAUAUGGAUGAGUAACAUCAUAGGAUCUAUGGCUAGAUUCCAUGUUAGAUGCUCUCAGCUUCUUCUUUGGAAAAAAAACAUUAAUUGUCACAGUGAAAUGACAUGCAUAUCAAUACUUGUCAUGGAUCAAGAAAAUUAUGCCCAAGGAAGAUGAACCAUAGGCAUUGGAUUUGGGGUCUUUUUGUAUUGCAAUUGUGGUAGUUUCACUUUCAUAGGCUCUUAGACAUUGUCUGCAACAGUUCAACAGCUUGAAGAAAAAGAAGUGAGGCAUCAUUGAAGAGUGGGUCACAGGCAAUUGCUAGUAAACCGGCAUUCAACGAAAAGACAUCCAAUGAAACAAGGGGUGGAGCAAAUAUUCUCAAAAGAGAACUCCAUGAUUGAGUUUUAAAUACAAAGAAAGGAGGAAAAGCUGAAAAGUACUGGAAAAAAACAUAAAAAUGGGCAUCGAUAGUGAUCAAUGAAUUAAAGCAUGAAGAAGCAAAAUACAAAAAAAAAAAAAAAAAAAAAAAAAAAAAGGGGUAUAACCAAAAUCAAUGCCCCCUCCCUGGAGAAAUACCAUUAGGUUCAACAUUCUUGUAAUAGUAUCAUUCCAUCAUAAGUUAAAAGGUUUCUACAAACUAAAAAAGACUAAAAUAAAUUGAAAAAGGGAAGUUCUUCUAAUCUAGUUGAUACCUACAUCCUAUCUUCUCUGCUAAUUUUUCAUACAAAAGACCAGUUGACGAACAUGAAGCAGAUACAGUGAGCAUUUUCUUCAUCAUUUACCACUUUCCAAGCCACUGCUCUCUCAUAGGAGAUUGGUCUCCCCAUGCUUGACAAGCAGAUACCACCUUGAAGGCACAUAAAACCCUGCUCAACCAUAACAAUGAUGAAUAGAAUCAUUAUCAACUAUUAUGAUCAACCUUAUAUAUAUUGUUUUCACUUAUCUAUAUCAUACUAAUAUAUAUACCUGCUGCAUUACUUGUGGGAACUCUGCAAAUAGGGCUUUUCGUCCAUUGUCAUCGAAAAUCUUCUCCAAACUUAUGUCCUGAAGUGCUACCAAGGUUGUUUCAAGCAUGUCCAGUCCUGCUUGAUUAGCAAAUGUGAAAACUGGUAGUGCCUGCAUAUAUUACCAAGCAGGUUAUGUUUAAUAUAAAGCAAGGUGGGGGUAAUAACGGAAUGAUGAGGAAACAAUUAUUUUAGUUAAUUUUCUGUAAUUGUAGCUCACUAAAGCACAUGAGCAGUUAGGAAGAUUGUGAAAAGUAUCGUUCUGUUAUCAACAAGACAAUUGCCAGACUACCUUCAAAGAGCAGCAUAGAACUGCAUCAGUGUUAUGCCAAAGCGUUUUUAGAAUGGAUUCACUUCCUUCGUAUUCAAGCAGCUCCACUCCUAGAUAACACCUGCAAAGAGAUGAACAAUCCGAAAAUAUUGAUUAGCCUGAGUCUAGAAUGACAUGAUAGAUAUUAACAACCAAGAAUUCGGUUCACAAUUAUGAGAAAUGGGGAUGAAAAUGAAUUGAUUGACACACCUAUAGCUCUGACAAAUCCAACGAGCAAGUGUCUGUGCUUCAGGAGUACCAGGAGGUGUUCGAAAACCAGCAUGAGAGCCGAAGUUGGAGGGAGAGAGUGCCAAUGCCACCCUUUGAACCGAGGCAAUGAUACUACGGACAUACUGUCGAGCCAUGGUUGCCACAUUUUCUUGAAGGUGGAUCUCAUAUACAAACUGGAAUGCUAUUGUCAUCACAGACUUUGUGCUUCCAUUACGACCAGAGUUAUCACCGGUUGAUCUGUUUCCAGCAGCUCCAACUUCAAGAGUAGAGGCAAGGUCAAGUGUACGAUUUGGACUGGAUGCAUCCUACAUUACAUUUAAAGUCGUUUAGUAAGAAACUAAAGCGAGAAAAGACAAUAAAGACAGAAUUUUUGAUAAUAUCAUGCAUGAUAAACACUUACCAUUCCAGAAUCAAGAGGGAUGAUGCGGAAACCAGAAGGAAUAAUAGGUGCAUCAUCAGAGAAUGAAGCAUCAAUGGGGGCAAAGGUGAGUUGAGCACAAGUCCCAACUGCAUUCUCAUCAACUCCACUACAAAGCUGACAGAAUCACAGAGGAAAGAGAUUAUAUAUUGCAAGAAAUGAGAACAAAACAUUUUCCCAUGCCAUAAAAUAAAGGAAUUGUGUUGGUGAAAACUCAAGUACCUGCAAGAGGAAGAUAUCACCAGGCAUGAUCAUGUCUUCUCGAUAAUGACCCAUAUUUUCAAGCUUAAUGACCUCCAUGAACUACAACAGAAAGUGAACAAUCUUUUAGGAUACCUUGUGCCUAUUGAUCCCCAAGGAUUAUACAGUAAUUGCCAAAUUACUUACCUCUUCAUGCUCAAUAGUAUGAGCUAGUGGAAGAAUGACCUGACCCCCAAAACUUCCACCUCGAGCUACUGGCAAACCACAGGGACCAGCUUUGACAGCAGCAGCAGAGUAAGCAUCAAUACCACUGUCUGCCCACUCUGAUCGAUGUUCUCGCAGGAAUCUGAGUAGUAUGGCUGGAGGCACAUUCUACAAAUAAAACAAAAGCACAGAUUCAUGAAAAUGAAACAAGUAUUCUGUUCAUUGAGUCCUCUAAAUCUUCAAUGAAUCUUAUUAUACCAAUGGCUUGUUAUAUCAAUGAAUGUUUAUCUUGUGGUCAUGUGAUAACAAAAUUGGGAAGGGAAAACAGUUUUGUUUUGUUUCAUGUCUAUAGAUCUUAAGCUGUUAUUGACAUGCUUUCAACACAUUUAGAAGCUUACCUGGAGUAACAUGGAUGCUUUGGCACAUAGAAUUGCAUUGCCCAUUGAAGGAAAUCCAUUACCGUAAGAAAGAUUUAUGCCCAUCAUCUUGCUAGGAGAUGAGUUCACAAGGAGGGUAACAUCAUCAACACCGUCACUUUCCAACAUGGACCAUCCUUCAUCAGCAAACCCAUUAACAGCCUCAUUAAAUCCCCUGGACAAUGCAAUAUGUUAGUUUCCCAUCUAUCAAGAAUCAAUCUACUACUGCACAAAAAUAUGUGAAUUCUGAAUAGUUGGAUGAACAUACUUGUUCAAUUUCUGACUAAGUGCACGCAGGGCUGCAGGUCUUCUCCCCCAACCAGUAACAUUUGGCUGAGAUAUUUCUUGUGAAAUCUGCCUCAAAUGACGCAAGGCCUGCACAAUAUACAAGUUGAUGUCUAGACAGUUUUGUAGAAGCAAAUUAGAUAUAAUACCACCGAGCAUAGAUGCAAGGAAUAUAUCUUACCGCCAUUGUCGUCUUUUGAGCAAGCAAUGUUGAGGACUCGUAAAGUGGGCGCAACACUUCGGGAACACUCCAAGGCUACAAAUAAGCAAGUUGAACAUUGAAACUAUUGCCUCUUGCAGGGGAAAAAAGUAAAGUGUGCAUGUUUAACAAUAGAAGCAAGGUGAUAUACAUACCUCCAAAUCCAUGUGAUCAACUAUGUGAAUGAUGGAUCCUCCCCCUUCACAAGGUCUAAUCAGAUAACCACUAGGCAAUAAUUCUGCUCUCACGAAAUUUGCAGCUGGCGGCAUACUUGGACCAUUCUGAGUGUUGUUAAGUGAUCUUUCACAUACCUAGCAGCAUAUCAUAAUUAUAACAAUCAGAAUAUAAAAAAAUUUUCUGAAAAGAUUAAGUCAAAAGGAAUAGCAAAAGCUCCAUGGUUAACAUGUAUACCACAAGACUACCGUCCUCCAUAACAGAUGUAUAACGCAGCAACCAAAAGUCACGAGCUGGUGCCAGUGUUGUUGGGGCAUAGAGCUGAAAGAAAGCAACAGGAAUUUAGAACUUUUUACCAGAAGCAAUUGCACCAUUAAUUCCAAAUAUUGCAGAUCAAAAGGAAGAGAAAUGGGAUCUUAAUUAGCUUACCUGCAUAUAAAGCAGUUCAAUGGUUCCACCAUUUCCAGUGGACAACACGUUUAUAACAUCCACAGCUCGGCAAUCACGAUACCAUGAAGGCCGAUCUUUAAGGAUUUCAGCGACCUACAUGAAAAAGGAAACAUAUAUUGAUCAGUCAAUUCUUCUCCAAAUUUGAGCCAAGAAACGUCUUUUCAGUAGAAAGCAAAAAUGAACUUACUCUUGUAGGAUCUAGUCCCACAAGUCCGCAUGCACGUGCUGCCACACCACUGCGACCAUGAGAAAUAGCAACGAUUCCAAUAGAAUCCGGACCAGGCUGCACAGGUAAGAAAGAUAUUAGCAGUAGCCAGUAGGUAAAAUUGGCGCGGGCAUUUGGAGUUAAGAUUACUAUUCAUCAAACAAGAAGUUUUAACAAGGCUAGCUCUUUUUCUUAACUAGCAUAAUGAUAUCGAUUACUAUUUAAUUCAAGUUAUGUUCUACAAAGGGAGUAAAAAACAAGAGAUCCAUUUGAGAAUAUCAUAUGCAUGUUUGAGUCCCAAGGUACAAUCUACCUGGAGUCUGUAUGUAAUGAUUUAAAAGAAAGAUAACAGCAUGCUAUUACCUAACAAUUGGUUCUCCAGUUUUAUCUUUAUCAGUAUUAAUUCAUUAUUUAAAAAAAUCCAUAGAUUAAAAAAUUCUAAAGGUUAAAAGAAAAAGAAAAUCCAACUCAUAUUGGAAACAGGGAAAUAUUAGUAACCAAUAGAAAAAUGGGAAAGUGGGGUUGUCCUCGAUAUUGACAUAACAAAUAUGGGUUAGGAUGUUGCUUAGAAGAUUAGCAAGAUUUUAUGCUUUGUUAUAUAAAUAAGAAUUUAUCAAUAAUGACAAUGAAUAAUGGACUACAUUAAUAUAGUUUAAUAGUAUUUUACAAAGAAUAAAAGAAUGAUGACAAUAGAGAGAGAGUUACCUUCAUCCCAGGCAUUUGGACCCACUCGACAGCAGUUCCAGUGGCCUUUGAAAGAAACUCUGUUAAAGUUUCCUCUGCAAUGGACAAAAGUCUGGAAUGCAAAAACAAAAGCACAUAAGGCGCACUAGCAAUUAUACAGCAACAAAACAAAGAUUCAAUUUCAUAGAGAAACGAGGAAUGAAAGGGACAUAACAAUGGGAGUGUAUAACAGUGACAAAAUUUCCCACUACUACUAACCCUGCAGGGCUGGCAUCCCUUGGCGGAUGCUGAGGAGUCAAAUGGUGUUGACCGCUCGUCACUACUGAUUCACAACUUGUAUCCGUGGUGGCUAAAGUCGUCUGCAACCACAACAACAACCAAAAAAAAAACCACUGCAAUUAACAAAAAUUCCCAUAUUUGAAAGCAAACCAAACACUUUCAGGCAAAGGGUUCAAAAAAAAUUAUAAUAUGAUUGUAUUGUAAAGUCCUCUUUUUUUUUUUUCUUUAAAAAUAUGAAACGUGAAAAGGAAGAUGAAGUUCUUACAUUUUGAGUCUGUUGGCGGAAAUAGCUGUUUUCAUAAACAAGCUGUGAAACUUGCUUUUGUAACCUAUCAUUCUCCUCCAUCAACAGUUUAUUCAUAGCUGUCAACUUCCUAUUCACAGCUUGGAGGCGUGAUGCUUCUUUUCGUUGUUUUUCUCUACAUCUGUGAUUAAAAACAAACAAAAAUUCAACAACCACAUAAAAUCAUCAAAAAAUGAAUUAAGUUACCGAAUUACUAUAUGUUUGAAAGGUGAAACAACGUAUGGAAGAUUUGGAACAUUUAUGUUUGUUUGUACCUGCGAUUUUGGAACCAAACUUUAAUCUGUUUGGGCUCGAUGUUGGAGAGGAUGGGGCACUCACGAAUGAGUUGUUGACGACGCAUGGAGCUAGGCUUAGGACACUCAUGGUAGAGACGUUCUAAAGCUUCGACUUGCUCGGGCGUAUACCUCACAUACUUGCCAUUAUCCAUAGCUAUCUUGGUCCCUUCUUUGCAGGAUGAGGUCACCGCCAUCAUCACGUCUACAAUCCAUCAAAACCAACAACAAUUUUCAGUAAAAAAAUAAUAAUAGCAUUCAUUUUCAAAAAAGUAUACGUGAAAAAACAUAUGAAGUAAUGAAUAUAUCACACCGUUCUCUUUUCCGGGAACUACGAAAACACAAACGGGAUCACCGGCGAGGUCUCAAAGAUCCAUUUAUCAAAUUCUCAAACAAACAAACAAAAAAGAAACUAACAAAUUCUGAGCUUUGGGUAGCAGUAACACUAUAUAGAAACGAAGGAAGGUGUUCGUCUAUGGAAUAAAGAGAAUUAAACAAAACAGCUGUUGCUAUCACUGUUGUUGAUGAUGAAGGAAACAAAGAAAGAGGGGGUUUCUCUAUAUGAAGGAAGAGAAUAGAUGGGGAGGCUUGUUUAGGGAAAAUAAAGAGAAAAGAGGAAGAGAGAGAGGGAGUGAGUAGUAGAUGAUGGGCAUGGAAUGGUGUUAAAAGGCGAGAGAGAGAGAGAGAGAGAGAGAGAGAGAGAGAGAGAGAGAGAGAGAGAGAGAGCCCCCCUUAAUACCUGACAGAAUAUCAGACUUUGUUUUUUGUUUUCACAUUCUCAAAUCUCAAUCAUACUAAUACUAUUGCUUCUGCUGCUUCCCUAUUUGCCUUGGCUGCUUUUUUUUUGCUUUUUCAAACAAAACUUAAAAAGACCGUCACUUCGGUGUGUGUAAAAUAUAUGUAAUUAAGUGUAAGAAUAUCCAAGGUUGAACUUAAUAAGAUCCAUACUCACAGUUCCAGCGCGUGUUUUUCCUUCUCUUCUUCUUCUUCUAAUCGAAACACAUAUGCUCGUUUGGUUCUAUAUAAAUAUAUGAAGAUUUGAGGGGAAAAUAUAUAUUAACAUAUUAGUUGCUUGUUUUUAUAAUAUUUAUUCUAUGAUGGAAUAUAUUGACAUUAAUUUUAUUGAUUUUUUAAACAAAAUUUUAUUAUAAGAUAAAUAUGAGGAUAAUACGCUCUAACGCACUCAAAUUCACGUCCUCUUGUAUUGAUAAUAAUACCAUAUCAAUCGAGUUAAAGACUGAAUAGACUAAUUUUAUUGAUUUUUAAUGUUGUUGCUCCUUGCCUAACUCAUAUUUUAUCCAUUGGAUGAGAACUUUUAUUCACCCUGUAAUAUUUUCUCACGAUUCUAUUUACAUUAAAUUUCCAAGAGUAUACCAUUUAUGUAGAUUAUAACAAAAUUCAAAUAUUUAAAGAAAUAAUAAUAAUAAUAAUAAUGAAGGUAUGAAUGCAUAUGUUGAGAAUAAAGAGAAGAAAAAAUUAUGGAAGAGUUUGCAUGCGGCCUCGGUUUCUCAAAUCACACCACCUUUCCUCUCUCUUCAUCAUCAUCAUCUCUCUUAACUCCCUUUUAAUAUUCUCAUAUAAUUCAUGAUAUAUUGUGCCUUAGUAUUAUAUAUAUAUAUAUUCCUAGGAUGCUAUUUAAAAAUUUACCCAACAGUGUUUUUCAAAUAUAAAUUUUAUUUUAUUUUAUUUAAAAAAAAUAGUUCCAAGUAUGAACACGAUGAUGAUAAUAGAGAAGCAGUCUUAAUUAGUCGGCAAAAGGAAAACUUAUACGUUAUCAGCAAAAGAAGAAAGGUUGAAUUUUAGACUUAAUUUUUUCGAAGAAUUGGCAAUGGUUCUAUAGCUAUUGUUUGAAAGAGUAAACGAGUCAAUGCCACUUAAUGAAAAAUAGGCUCAGUCAAUUAAUGAUGAACGACCAAUGCACAUCAAAUUAUUCAAAAUAUGAAUAAAAUAAUAAUAAAAAGACUGAGGCUUCCAAUUCAUUAAGCAAUGGCAGACCAACUUAAGUGGUGUUUGAUUCUUCGACUACUCGCAUCCUUAAUUAGACUUUAAUCCACUAUCAAAUUUUAGCCUAAAAUACGCGUCUUUACAUUAUUUUUUUUUUAUGAAUUUCAUACACUUAAGUUAAUUUUAAAACUAAAAUGAAUUUAAGUUUCAAUUAAAUUACAAUAGACCAAGUUUGAAUCUAAAGAUAGAAGAGCUUCAUCUUUGAUAGGUUUUUAAGCACUUUUUCUUUUACAAUUAUUGCUAAAAGGGGAGUGAUCGAUGCAAAUCCCAAUGAAAUCAAAUUGGAGGAAAGUUUUUGAAUUUUUGAUCAAUUAGGAGGCUGAAAUCUCCCUGGUUAGUAGGAUUUGGUGCGAGAGAAGGGAAAAGGUCCCAUGGAGUAGCUCAUUUUGUAUACCAAAGCAUUCUGUGGAUCGACUUCCUACAAAACCAAGGCUUAUUCAGAGAGGGAUGAAUAUUGUGGUUUGAGGAGCAGGAAACUAGGGAUCAUAAUUUGUUCUUUGGUUGCAGGUUCUGUAAAGGAAUUUGGGAGCUUUGUCAAUUGGCAGCAUGAAUUGAUGUGGGCAAUGAGGAGAUUCAAAGGGAAGGCAUUGAUAACUGUUCUUUACGAGGUUGGAUGGAAUGCUGGAUUAGAAAGGAAUGAAAUAAUAGACAUUUUACAACAGUUGAAAACAAAAUUAAAGAGGUGAUAAGCUUGAGACUGAUGAGUACUAACAUUAAAAGAAAUGAUAGUGUAAAUACUAAUUUGUGUUUAGCUUGGGGUAUACAUGAUAUUGAAUGAAAUUAUUAGUCAUUUCCAGAGUUUCUUAUGUAGCAGAUUUCUGCUUUGGUUAUAAAAUCAUAGGUAUCUAAAGAAAACUUAAAAGAUAAGGUGGCAUGGGCCAUUAAUGGCUUAAUAUCAAAAAGAAAGGGAAAAAAGUGAAAUAAUGUUGUUUAGUGGUCAUUUUUUAUUUCAUAGUGUGCUAUAAUAUGUUAAAGGUUGUUUUAAAAAAAAAAAACAAAGGCCAAAGGGGGCUGGUGAAAGUGUUAACAUACCCCGCCACUCGCGCUUGUUCCAUUGAAAGCGGUGCCACUAAGAAGAUUGCGCUAAAUUUCGACAUUCCAUUUUUUUAGAAUUUUAUGUUUUGAAAAAUUAGAGCAACGAAUAACAGAAUGACAGGUGUAGCACAUGUGAUUGUAACGUGAGGUCGACGCCAGCAGACCAUAUCCUCGGGGUUAGGGGGUGUGGUCCACACGUGGGGGGACCCGAGGUGUGGCCCCCGCACGCGUGAAGACUCCCUUUCGCUUUACAACGUGCUCCUUAGUCCUUGCCACUUACCAGCCUACCCGCCCAGGUGUCACUUAUUUAUUAAUUUUUCGCCCAUGUUUUCUUUUUUCUUUUUUUUUUAAAAAAUUAACUAUUUUUUACUGUUAAAAGACUUACUUAAAAUCAUGUGCCUUUUACUGACGCGCUUCUGAAGGAGAGCAUAAUUCACGCGCAGUAAACAAUAGGAGUGAUACAGAAGUUUUCAGGUCGGCUCCAACUUUUAUAACUUUUGUAAACUUCAAUUUUUUGUAUAAUAAAGAGCAAACAUUAAAUCUAACAAAUAAAGGUGAAAAAACAAUCCCCUUUUUGGUACAUUCAAUUUGAGACAAAUAGUAAUACCACUCAUAAACAUCAAAACUAAGAAGACAAUUAUAUAUAGAAAUCGUUUAAUGUUACAAAUAAAAUUAAGCCCUUUUUUUCACUAUUGCAAAUAUUGCAAAGUGGUCCUAAAAACCCUGUCUUCCAAAUCAAAUUUACAUGUAUCAACUAAACCCCAUUUAGGAAAAGAACAUGUUUUUAUAAAGUUUUCAAUGAAUCAUCGUAAAAAAAGAGUAAGUGAGAAGAUAGAGGAUUUGGUCUUCCAAAUUCCCGUCAUGGCUUCCUGGUUUGUUAAUUCUGUCCCCCGCCCUGCCUAUACAUGAAAUUAGUACAUAUUGGUGAAUAAUGAUAAGAGAAAUAGAAAUAAACAUGUGAGGGUUUAAGAAAUGAGAUCAUGCGGGGCGCAUAACAAAUUAAUUAAGGAGAGAGCACAAAAAUUGAGAGAAAAUUAUAUGUAUAGUGGGAGUAUGUGGCAAGAAAAAUAUAAAAAGGGUAUAAUAAACUUUGUGAAGAAGCAACGCAAAUGCAAAGGCAAGAAGAGGCACGCGAAGCACAAAGUGAAUAGGGAGGAGUGAAAAAGGGGAGCAGUGGGAGGGCCGACAAGCGAAUGGUAGUGGCAGUGGCAGUGCCCACUCAACGGCGCGGAAAUAGAGGAUCUUGGCCCACUCCAUCUGCCUCUUCAUCAUUUCAAUUACCCCUCCCUUUCUUUUUCUUUUUUUACUAGGAUUUAAAUAAACAGGAAUAUUCGGCGGCGCUGCUUUAUGAGAUGCAAAUCUCGUUAUUCAUUUUUCUUUAUCAAAGGCAAGUGGGACAAUGCCUUACUGUUGAGCGAGAGUCGCUAGUGAAGUAGAUUAAUGCUCUAAUCGAAUGCUCCUCAAAUAAUAAACAUUAAUUUUAUAAAGAGAAAGUGUAAUAUGGGUAUUAAAGCCCACUUAGAAACCCAAUAGUCCCGCCAUGAAAGUAUAUAGUAGCCUACUUAAUGUAUGAGCCCAUGAACUUGGCACUUUCAAUGGCCUAAACCAAAACUGCUUUAAUACAGAAUUAUUUUAUUUCACUCGUUAUUAAUAUCAGUACUUCAUUCCCCGUGAUUAUGAAGCACGUUUCCUACCCAUUAGCUAAUUCAUUAUUAUUUUCUAUAUGAGGACAAAUCAAAGCAAAAUUAUAUAUAUAUGUAUUAUGUUCCACAAAACAGGAAGAGUAAUUUCAUAUCCUUCUUUGAUGCCUACACUUAAUAGUCUCUUAACUGUCAAAAUAAACAAAAAUCCACCAAUCGAUUACACUAAGCCAAAAAAGUGAACUAACAAGAAUCUUAGCCUAAGCUUUGUGGGUUAUCCAGGAAGCUCCGUUUAUGCUCUACUUCUCUUUUGGUGUACAUCCAGGAAGUGGAAAUCGAGAAUCCAAGUAACUGCCAGGUAUAUAGCCUUAGAUGAAUAACCUAUUUCCCAUUUACAUAUUCAAGGAGAUGCCGGUCGAGCUCAAAAUGGCGAGCAAGAAGCCGCUGCAACAAGCAAUAUCCAAAAAGAAAACAAUAUAUAAUAACGUCGAACAUGGGGUGUCAACUGAAAAAACAUAAGAUGAAUAUGCAUAUUUCACAAGAUAUUACCAGUAGUAGCAUUAGAAAAUCUAGCAAGUAUCUUUGCAUCUUGUACUAUGCACUGGCAACAAAAACACAUUACCUUAGUUAUAGGAGGUGUAGGUGUUGCUUCAAAAUUGAACUCGGGAAAGCGUGAAACCUCGAUAGCGUUUUCAAAUAGUAUAUAUGUAGGAAGCUGUCCCAUGCUCCCUGUGAGUACAAGACACCCAUGUAAAUGCAUUACAAACAUUCAAAAAUAAGUUCUAAAACUUAAUGAGCUCCCUUUGUAAUUAAUAUAUGUUACUCACCUCCAGGAGAUAUUCCGAAUUUUUCUGCAGCAUUUGGGAAAAGUCCAAGGUCAACUAUUCCGAAUGACAGAUUUUUGUUUGAGUAUCUGAUCAAAGAACAUUGAAUGCUAAUGAAAACUUAUUAAUGACAAUAAACAAGCAAAACAGAUAAUUUUGUAAAUCAACUUACGUGAUUGACAGCUCGGGAAAGCAGCGACUGGCACGUCUGCAGCUGGAUGAAAAUGAGGCACGAAAUUCUACCUGCCGAAAACAUAGUCAUCACCCACCAAAAAAAAGGGGUCUCAAGUUCAUUAAAUAAUAAUUAUAUCGGAAAUUAGUACUCGAAUAUCAGAUUUUGUACCAUCAAAAGAACUUGAUCUACAAAUUUACUUCUUUAAGUUGGGACUUUUGUACCUUCUUCGUAUAUACUUCCAACAUUCCUUUUAAAUUUUUCAAGAAUUAUCACCAAGUCCCAAAAGCAUGCAAUUUUACAAAGAGAACAUCCUAUACGCUAUUAAACAUUAAAUAUUCAAGAAAAAAAAUUGGAACCAACCAGCCAAAAUCUUGAUGUGUUCCCUUCAGUUAGCAAGGCUUCCAAUUGCAAUGGUGUCAGUUUACUUGCAGAACCUAGGAAAAUCAAUUCAUAAGCAAAAGAAACAGCAUUUCUAUCAAAAUGGAAUGUUAGUUGUUCUUCUAACUAUAACGAAAAACUGAAUGGAAUUUCAUUAGUACCAAGCUCUUCGUAAGGAGGUUGCUGUGUUAAAACAUAUAUCACUGUAAAAAAUAAAAAGCAAUGUCAUCAUAAACCUGCAAUUUUUAAAGUUGUACUAACAAUUUGUGCACAAACCAUAGCAUUUACAAAAUUAUCUUAGCAAGAUAAGCAACAAUAAUACCUGAAAACACCACUAAAUACCACAAAGUCAAGUGAUAGUCCAUUAUUAGAGUAAGGGCAAUAAGAAAGAUCUGGGAAAAGAAGGGAAAUUUUAGUUGCAAAUUAUAUCCAAUAAAAUGAAACAAAAAAAACCAAACAAAUGGGUGACCUUACCUUUCCAAAAAACAAUGUAUCAGCAAUGAAAGCCUCCCAUGUUUCUUCUCUUGCCAUCUGCUUGCAAAGCGGGGAAAAAAACCAGUACAUCACACCAUUAAAGAAAACUUUUUUUCAAAGUUACUCGAUUACCUUGUAUGCAAUCAGCAUAAAGAAGGCCAAAACCGCUUGAAUUUCCUAUACCCAAAAUAGGAAAAUUGGAGAUCUGUUAAGGUUAGAAAAAAAUGGGGUUUGG
rnacentral:lncRNA from 1 species